rnacentral:pre_miRNA from 1 species
CGUACGAAAAGCUAGACAAAAACAUCUUGAAUUUUUAUAAUAGUAGAGAUUAGUAUUUUAUUGUUAUUAGAUAAUAAAACAUGAAUAGUACUUUAUGUGUGACUGAUUCUUUUUAUUUUUUUCAUAAAUUUUUCAAAUAAGAUGGACGGUCAAACGUUGGACACAGAUACCCAUGGCUCCACUUAUU